GACGAACGCUGGCGGCGUGCCUAAUACAUGCAAGUCGAGCGAGUCUGCCUUGAAGAUCGGAGUGCUUGCACUCUGUGAAACAAGAUACAGGCUAGCGGCGGACGGGUGAGUAACACGUGGGUAACCUGCCCAAGAGAUCGGGAUAACACCUGGAAACAGAUGCUAAUACCGGAUAACAACAGAUGAUGCCUAUCAACUGUUUAAAAGAUGGUUCUGCUAUCACUCUUGGAUGGACCUGCGGUGCAUUAGCUAGUUGGUAGGGUAACGGCCUACCAAGGCGAUGAUGCAUAGCCGAGUUGAGAGACUGAUCGGCCACAUUGGGACUGAGACACGGCCCAAACUCCUACGGGAGGCAGCAGUAGGGAAUCUUCCACAAUGGACGCAAGUCUGAUGGAGCAACGCCGCGUGAGUGAAGAAGGGUUUCGGCUCGUAAAGCUCUGUUGUUGGUGAAGAAGGACAGGGGUAGUAACUGACCUUUGUUUGACGGUAAUCAAUUAGAAAGUCACGGCUAACUAAGCG
rnacentral:rRNA from 1 species